UUAAAUAGCCGCAGAAAUUCUGUGCUAAGGUAGCRUAAUCAUUUGUUCUUUAAUUMAGAACUAGAAUGAAAGAUUUAACGUUUUAAUAAUUAUUUUAUUUAUAAUUAUUUAAUUUAUACUAAAUAUAAAAAUAUAUUUAUAUAAUAAAUAGACGACAAGACCCUACUGAACUUAACUUACAUGUUUAACUGGGGCAGUUAAUUAAUUAUAAUUUUAAUUAAAUAUAUUAAAUAAAUUAUCCAAUACUAUUGAUUAUAAACAAGUUACCAUAGGGAUAACAGCGUAAUAUUAUUUUAAAGUUCAUAUUUUAAAUAAUGUUUGCGACCUCGAUGUUGAAUUAUUAUUCUUUAUUUUAACGCAAUAGUUAUAAAAGUAGGUCUGUUCGACCUUUAAUAUAUUACAUGAUCUGAUUUCAAACCGG
rnacentral:rRNA from 1 species